GAAAUCAUUCUCAACUAUUAGUAUCUUUUGUCUUUGAAUGACAAAUAGGAUCCUACAAAAACGAGUGCCUCGUCUGAGGAUCCCUCGCGAUAGGCUUCAGAAGCAUCGAGCCAUAAUGCUCGUUUUUAGUGUCUUUGAGCUCUCUUCAACUCCCUCCGACUCCGAAUCUCAGAAGUUUGCAGGGCUAUCAUCUAACUGUUUCUCAUCUUCUAUAUCCACCUCCAAGAUUUCAGGGAUUCUUUGCUUCAAGUAAUACCAAGUCUUGCUACAACAGUAG
rnacentral:misc_RNA from 1 species